UGUGGAGGGUGAAGAAAGCGAAGUCUGUGCAGUGAGGCUUUGCUGAUACUACCCUCCUAUAUCAACGGGGGGCACAGAGAGCAGCCCAGCUAAUAAGACAUUUGGCUGGCUGACUGCACCGCCCUACAUCC